rnacentral:rRNA from 1 species
GACAGAGGGUGCAAACGUUGUUCGGAAUUACUGGGCGUAAAGCGCGUGUAGGCGGCCCUGCAAGUCGGAUGUGAAAUCCCACGGCUCAACCGUGGAAGUGCAUUCGAAACUGCAGGGCUAGAGUCCUGGAGAGGAAGGUGGAAUGCUUGGUGUAGAGGUGAAAUUCGUAGAUAUCAAGCGGAACACCGGUGGCGAAGGCGGCAUUCUGGACCGAUAUUGACGCUGAGGAGCGAAAGCCAGGGGAGCAAACGGG